GAGCCCAGGACAGGACAGGGCACUUCCUGAGGGCUCUGAGGGCUGGGUAGGAGCCCACCAGGUGAGGCAAGUUUCGAUGAGAGGGCUGGGGAGGCCCAGAGAUGAGGAAGCACCCCGGGGAGAAGUGGCUCUGAUGUGGGAUUGGGGCAGAGUCUGGAGGGGCCCCCAGUCACCUUCAGGGUCUGGCCUUGAUCUUGAGGGAGGUGGGCAGCCACUGAAGGUUUAAGAGGGGGGCGGGGCGGCCACAUCGCAACUGAAGCGGGUCUCUUGCCAUGGGGGCGGGAGGAGGCUGUGGCUGACUCCAGGAGACGGCGGUGGGGCUGGGAGAGCCCUUCUCCCUUCCAAAGCACUUUUCCGGAGAGGGGCCGCAUCUGCAGGGACGCCGACCUGAGCUCAGUUUAGGAAGAACUUUCUAGCAGCAACAUGCCUGCCCCGGAGGCGGGCACGGCCAGAUGGCGGUGUGGGGAUUCCACUCUCCCCUGGGCUGGCCCCUUCACGGCCCAGGGACCUCACUGGGGUCACAGCUGCUCUUCUGUGCUUGCCCACCUUUGCGGGCACCAAGGAGAGUCCAAACGUGGACUGUUUUAUUAAAUUCUCUCCACACCCCCGUUCAGCCGACUCUGUUACCUUCUUACUUUACAGUUGAGGAAAUGGGUCAAGACAUUUGCCCAAGUGUACCCAGCACAGACAGGAAACGCUGAGUGUGAACCAGCCUGUGACUUCGGGACCCUCAUGCGGCCCCGGCUGUCCCACCGGAGACUCCCGGAAGCUGAGGUGAUGCCCAAGGAGUCCACACACCAGGAAGGUGAAGACCGAUUCCAGUUCCGUGCUCUCACUGGGGUGUCUCCGGCCCGCGCCUCGGCUCGGACUCCCUGGGCAGACCUGCUCUCUCUGGGGGUGGCAGGUGCACCCAGUAACUGCAGUCUCAGAGCCCUGGAAUCCUGCAUCACUUCGUACCAGGUUUCCCCAAAUCACCCCAGCCCUCCGGCCGUGGCACCUUCUCCGUGGUUCUGGGUUUGCUCAGCCGUGCCCUGAGCCGGGGAGUGGCUGGGCGUCCAGCUCCGGGCCUCUUCGCCCGCACUGUCUUGAACACCCGGGGCAGGAUUUUUCCUGCCUCCGCCCCCAGCCCCCACUCCCUCUGUGGCUCACCCCAACUGUCCACACCUUAUUCAGGACCAGAAAGCGGGGCAUGUCCAUCCUCCUUCCAUUCCCUUCCAUUUCCUCCAUUCCUCCUCCAUCCACCUGUCCAUCCACCAUCCACCCAUCCAUCCACCCCUCCACCCUCCCAUCCCCAUCCACCCACCCACUCCUCCACCCAUCCAUCCACCCCUCCAUCCA
rnacentral:lncRNA from 1 species